UGUGCCGCGGGAUUUUUGUCAAGGUUAAAAUGUGCCGUGGCUCAAAAAAGGUUGAAAAACACUGACUUAAGAGACAUGAUUGUUUGAGCAACUUCAGUUUCAGUGACAGUCAUUAAGUUAAGUAUAGGCUCGGUCUUAUUUAUGGAACAAACAUGCAAAUCAUUAGCUUUAAAAUGAGCAGCAAUUAUGAUUUUGAGAUCAUAAAUAAACAAUGAUCAUUUUUUCAUGUUGAUGAUUCUGAUUCUUUGAAUUGUUUUCAUGUUUUCUACCAAUAUCAAAUAUAGAGAUGGGUAUUGUUAUGGUUAUAACGGGGGCGGUUAAUUGAGACACCGCGACUCCUGCUGCUUCAUCAAAAAUCCCACACUGUCACAGCUCUAGCUUAUAUCUUGUGUGACACAAACAUGCAACACAAAAUGUGACUUCUCCAGUACCGAUAGCAGAACCGUUGAGGUCAGAUCUUAACGAUACUGUGGUCUUGAAGAAUGUUGCCCCGGGGCUCGUUCAGUACCGCGGCUCGAUACCCAUUCCUAAUCAAAUAGUCUUUUGAAUGGUAAACUUGUAUUUUUUUCCCUCACAGAUCUGGCUGAAGUGUCACCUACUACCCACCUUGUUGCAAAAAAACCGCAACAAGACAUAAAAAAGCUGACAGAAAAAGUUCAGAGGCAGGAGGAGCUCAUCAAAGAGCUGUCAGCUGAGAAAGAUUUUCUGAAAGAACAGCUAGCAAUUCUUCCUCUGACUCUUCGUCUGAGUUUUCAUCUUCAGAUGAAGAGGAGAAGAAGAAGAAAAAGAAGGGAAAAAAUAAGAAAGGAACACCAAAAAAGAAGAAAAAAAGAGGCAAGAGUGGAAAGAAGAGCCAAAACAAAGCCCGCAAACGUGUCAGAAGAGGUGAUGCCGAGCCUGACUUGACUGCACCUCACUGGACCAUUGACUCUCAGUGAGGGGUCGAUGUUACGAGGGGCCCCUGGCUCUUUGAGUGAGUGACUCCUUUUUCACUGUGUGUUGGUUCUCUUCUGAAUCUUUGCGCUUUGCUUUUUGGGUCUUCGAAAUAAUAAAGGGAUGAUGUUUUUUAAGGCCUCUUUGUAAAAAUGUUUCACUUAUUGAUGCCCUUAACCCUUGUGCUAUCUUAGAUGA